rnacentral:rRNA from 1 species
AUGAUGCUCGGCCUCGUGCAGCUGCUGGUGGGGUUCGUCGUCUCCUGGGAGGCCCUCGAGUUCGUCCUCCGCUACGGCCUCCUCCUCUCCACCCUCAAGCUCCUACUCCUUGCCGCCUUGGCCGCCACGGCCUCGUGUAUCGCCCUCCUCUUGUUUGCCAAGGCUCUGGCAUGGGUGCUCCGUCGCAUGGCGAAACUCUCCAUCGGCUGCCGCUCCUAUGGUUUCAAUUAUCUCAGGGGCAUCACCAUUAACUCUCCUAAAGGACCGCUCCAGUCCAUCUCUGUCGGUGAAAUUAGACUCGGCCUGCGCAAGCCACUCACCCAGCUGGGGCUCACCAUACUAACUCAAGGCCCAGUCCUGCAACUGCGAAUUUCUGAAUUGCACAUUGUGCUCAGGCAACCCGCCAAAUCUGCAAACGAAAAGAAACCUGCCCCGCGCAAGCCAACCUCAGCCUCAUCGCCCAAACCAAAAGAAAAUUCCAAAGGCCAAGCAAAAUGGAGGCUUAUAACAAAUGUUGCCAGCCUUUUAUCACUUUCUCUAGUGGACCUCAGGCUCAAGACUCCAAAAGCUGCUCUUGGCAUCAAGGACUUUAAGAUUGAUUUAUCUAAAUCUGGAGCACUGCAUCCAGUUCUUAAUGUUCAAAUACACCUGAUACCUUUAUUUCUACAAGCGUUAGAGAUAGAUGGCACGGAAAAUGAUUCUUCAUCACCAUUUAACAAAUUGGAUUGGUGGGUGAGUGGACAAUACCCUUCAGCUAUGGACACUACUGACUGCAGCUCUUUCUUGCUUGAGGAUAUAGCACUCUCGUGUGAGCUUCAUCAGAGGGAUAAAAGAAUUAGAGUCAAGAAUUUGGAUCUGAUGUCUGGUCCAAUUGUUGUGAACCUGGAAGAAAAACUAUUCACCAAGAAGCCCUCUACUUCUACUGUUGCUGAUCAGAAGGAUGAAUCUACUGUGGAUAAUAAAUCAGCUGCCAAACCCGAGGGGAGCAAGCUUUUGUCAUUGAAUAAGAAGACCGAUUUGAUUCCUGAAAAGGUUAGCUUCAAUAUGUCCAAGCUAGAUCUGAAGUUUUUGCCAAAGGACCAUGGCCUCUCGAUCAACAACGAAUUUGGUAGCAUUUCUGUGAGACUUAUGAAGUCACAGCCUCAGAAUGACUUAGGGGUGGCUCCAACACACCUUUGGUUGGAAACUGACGUGACAGAUAUUCAUCUUCUGAUGGAUGGUUCUACAUCUGUAUUAGAGGUUGUGAAAAUUGCAACUGUUGUUUCAGCUAAUAUUCCCACUCAGUCAACAGAGCCAAUACGAGCGGAAGUAAAUAUCAAGAUCAGUGGGGGCCAAUGUAAUCUUAUUAUAAGCAGAAUUAAGCCACUGAUCUUGAUGAAGUCAGCUAAAAAGAAGCCCCUUGUUCUUCAUGAAAGUCCACAACAAGACAAGGUGCCCAAAGAAAAAUUAGCACUGGCUUUGGUACUUACAUUCUCAGUACCCGAGUUGUCUGUUGUGCUUUAUAGUCUUGAUGACAUACCUCUGUUCCAUUGUUGCUUGCUGUCUACUCAUUUUUCUGCAAGUAAGUUGGUAAACCAAGGACCUGAACUGCAUGCAAAGCUUGGAGAAUUAAAAUUCCUUGUUGCUGUGAAACAUCAACAGUUGAUAAAUGAAUGCAUUUCGGGCACCUUACUGCACAUUAGCUGCUCAACUCUUGAUCUAGAGCAAAAGGAGGCAAGCAAAGAUAGCGGUGUUGACCAUGCUAAAUCUGCUCUCUCUGUUAAUAUAUCUGGAAUAGGAAUGCAUUUCUGUUUUUAUUACCUUGAGUUGCUUUGUACAACUGCAAUGUCCUACAAGGGUUUUUUGAAAAGCAUUCUUCCCCCUAAGAAACGACCUGUACAUGAGACUUCUCAAAAAUCUACCAAGAAUGCUAAAGGAGCACAGCUAGUGAAGAUUAGCGUUGAACAGUGCUCUAUUUUGUAUGUUGGUGACAUGAGGCUUGAAGAUAUGUCCGUAGCAGAUCCAAAGCGUGUAAAUUUUGGUUCACAGGGUGGCCGUGUUAUGAUAAUUGAUGACGCUAAUGGUGGCCCAAGGAUGGCCUAUGUAAACUCGACCAGGCUUCCAGAUCAUAAGAAUGUUAACUUCUCCACUUCUCUUGAGACUAAUCGAUUUGGUGUGUGUCUGAACAAGGAAAAGCACUCCAUGCAGGUUGAACUUGGAAGAUCCAGAUUAACACAUAAAGAAUAUCAGUUUGAUGAUAAUCCUGCAGAGGAGGUUACACUUUUUGAUGUGCAAAAGGCAAAGUUCGUCAAGCGUUCUGGUGGGCAGAAUGACAAUGCAGUCUGCUCCCUCAUCAAUGUGACAGAUAUAGCAGUCAGGUAUGAGCCAGAUCCCUGCCUGGAAUUACUUGAAGUAGCCACGCGGCUUAAAUCAGUUCUGCACAGGCUGAAACUCCAGAAUUCUGCUACUGAGGUAAAAGAAGAAACAGCACACAUGGAUACGUUGACAAAAAAAGAACCUACAGACAAUAGCCAGCAAGAGAAGGCACAAAAGAAACGGGAAUCAGUUAUUGCCAUUGAUGUGGAAUCAUUGAAAAUUUCAGGUGAACUUGCUGAUGGGGUUGAAGCAAUGGUUCACGUUGGCUCCAUUUUUUCUGAGAAUGCCAAGAUUGGUGUUUUGAUUGAAGGGGUUGCAAUUAUUUUUUGUGAUGCACAGCUUUUCAAAAGCAGCCGUAUGCAGAUUUCACGCAUCCCGAUUUCUGUUUCUGACAGCAUUCCUGAUAAGAAGUUUCAGUCUGCAACUACAUGUGAUUGGGUUAUUCAAUUGCGAGAUGCUUAUAUAUGUCUGCCUUUUAGGUUGCAGCUGCGGGCUAUUGAUGAUGCAGUUGAAGAUACAUUGCGGGCAUUUAAACUUAUUUCUGCAGCAAAAACAUCCGUAUUAUUUCCUGAGAAGAAAUCUAGCAGCAGCAGCAGCAGUAAAAAGAGCAAAUCAAAAUCCACGGUAUUUCGGUAUGUCAGGUUAAUUGUACGUGACCUCACAGCAGAAAUUGAGGAAGAACCUCUCCAAGGUUGGCUUGAUGAGCAUAUGGCUUUAAUGAAGAAUGUAUUUAGUGAGUCCAUAGUUAGGUUGGAUCUGCUCGAUCAGCUUGAGUCAGCCAAAAACAAAGACUCCCCCAAGGCAAAAUUGGAUGGCUCUGCUUCUGAAAAGAGCAAUGACAACCCUGAUGUUUAUGUUGAUGCGCCUGGCAUGCAAUCUCUUGAAAAGCUUAGAGAAGAAAUCCAUAUACAGGCAUUUAAAUCAUAUUACCAGGCAUGUCAGAAGUUGUCAGUAUCAGAAGGGUCAGGUUCAUGUUCAAGUGGCUUCCAGUCAGGAUUUAAGAUGAGUAAACAGAGAGCAUCAGUUAUGUCAAUCUGUGCAAAAGAUGUUGACGUGAGCCUAUCAAAGAUUGAUGGGGGUGAUGAAGGAAUGAUUAGUUUUGUUAAAAGUGUGGAUCCUGUUUGUGCAAAAAAUGAUAUUCCAUUUUCCCGGUUGUAUGGCAGCAAUUUUACUUUGAAAGCUAAAUCAUUAUCUGCGUAUAUAAGAGAUUACGCAUUUCCACUCUUUUCUGGAACCUCUGCUAAAUGUGAUGGACGGCUUGUGCUUGCCCAGCAGGCGACUUGUUUUCAGCCCCAAGUUCGACAAGAUGUUUAUGUUGGGAAAUGGUGGCGAGUAAAUCUGCUACGGUCCGCUACUGGCUAUACCCCACCAAUGAAAACAUAUGCUGACAUACCAUUGUCUUUUCAAAGAGGGGAGGUCUCCUUUGGAGUCGGCUAUGAGCCAGUUUUUGCCGAUAUAAGCUAUGCUUUUACAUGUGCAUUGCGCAGGGCAAAUCUAGCUAAAAGAUGGUACUUUGAGCGCCCCGAACCCCCUAGAAGAGAGCGCAGUUUACCCUGGUGGGAUGAUAUGCGGAACUACAUCCACGGUAAAUUCAGCUUAUGUCUUGCUGAAACAAUGUGGCAUCUCCCUGCUGCAACAAGUCCUUAUGAGAAGCUAGAUCAAUUGCUAAUCACAACUGGCUAUAUAGAAAUACGAUAUGUGGAUGGUUAUGUCAGUCUGUCUUCAAAGUGUCUAAAGGUGUACAUCACUAGCCUAGAGAGUCUUGCGAAGAAGUGCACUCUAGAACCUCCACCUCAUACAACUAUACCUUUCCUUGAAACACCCUCCUUUUUCAUGGACAUUGCAAUAGAGUGGGGAUGUGAUUCAGGCAACCCUAUGGAUCAUUAUAUAUUUACUCUACCUGUAGAGGGAAAACCGCGAGACAAAGUACUUGAUCCAUUUCGGUCAACUUCACUCUCACUAAAGUGGAGCUUUUCACUUAAACCUAGUACUGCUGAACCUAUGGAGAGUAAACAAAAAACCCAAGCAUCUUCAAAUGAUUCUCCGACUCUGAAUGUUGGAGCUCAUGAUUUGGUCUGGCUAUCAAAGUGGUGGAACUUAUUUUUUCUUCCUCCCCAUAAAUUAAGACUUUUCUCUAGGUUUCCACGGUUUGGAGUUCCUAGAUUUAUCCGGUCCGGAAAUCUGCCACUUGAUAGAGUUAUGACCGAACAGUGUAUUCGUUUUGAUGCUACACUAUUGCAGAUCAACAAUAUACCACUACAGGCUGAUGAUCCUGCUAAAGGUCUGAUACUGCACUUCACAAAGCUCAGGUUGGAAAUUUCUUCCAGUCGUGGUAAGCAGAUAUUUACUUUUGACUGCAAGCGCGAACCUCUUGAUCUUGUCUACAUGGGCAUAGACAUGCACUUAUUGAAGGUAUUUAUUAAUAAUACUCCUGAACAAACAAGUUCGAAGGAUGGCCAGGUAGAAAGCAAGAGUCUGCAUACCAAAGUUGCAGAUAAUCCUGCUUGUGAAAAGAGCAAAACAAAAACUAGAUCGACUGAGAAAAGCCGGGAUGAUGGAUUUUUUCUGUACUCUGAUUAUUUCACAAUACGAAAACAAGCUCCCAAGGCCGAUGCUGCUAGAUUAUCAGCAUGGCAGGAGGAUGGCAGGAAAAAAUCUGAGGUGACAUCAUUCAAGUCUGAGUUUGAUGGGGGUGAUGAAAGUGACGAUGCGCAAUCAGGUAGUGAUGAGGAGGGGUUUAAUGUUGUUGUUGCUGACAAUUGUCAGCGAGUAUUCGUUCAUGGAUUGAAAAUUCUGUGGAGUCUAGAAAAUAGAGCCGCUAUCUUAUCUUGGGUUGGUGGUUUAACCCAAGCAUUUCAGCCUCCAAAACCAUCUCCUUCUCGCCAAUACACCCAAAGAAAGAUUCUUGAGAAAAAGCAGGCAAUUAAAGAAGCUGAGAUGUCUAAUGAUGCUGCUCCCAACUCUUCACCCUCAGCAUCACAGUCUUCAGAUCCUCUCCAACAAACCAAGAGUUCAGACCCAGCUUCUUCCAUCGGAUCCAGCAAGCUAGAGCCAACAUCGAGUAGUGAAACUGCAACGAAGCCUUCAAACAGUAGUGAUUCUGAAGAUGAAGGCACGAGACUUUUCAUGGUUAAUAUUGUCCAACCUCAGUUCAAUCUGCAUUCAGAAGAAGCAAAUGGUAGGUUUCUGCUAGCUGCUGGUAGUGGACGGGUGAUGGUUCGUUCAUUUCAGUCAGUUGUACAAGUUGGUCAAGAAAUGUUUGAGAAAGCACUUGGCGCCAGCAACGUAUCCAUCAGAGAGUCCAAGCCAGAAAUGACCUGGUCACGUUUUGAGGUUUCUGUAAUGUUGGAGCAUGUUCAGGCUCAUGUUGCUCCAACUGAUGUUGAUCCGGGUGCUGGUAUUCAGUGGCUGCCAAAAAUACAUCGCAGAUCGUCAGAAGUCAAAAGAACUGGUGCUUUACUUGAGAGGGUAUUUAUGCCAUGCCAAAUGUACUUCCGCAUCACAAGACACAAGGGAGGAAAUCCUGAGCUAAAGGUCAAGCCACUGAAAGAGCUGGCAUUUAACUCUCCAGAUAUAACUGCUGGUAUGACAUCACGCCAAUUUCAGGUUAUGAUGGAUGUUUUGACUAAUCUGCUCUUUGCGAGAGCUCCCAGAACUCGGAAGAGUAAUCUGUGCUAUCCCCUUGAUGAUGAUGAUAGCGACAUUGCUGAAGAAUCUGAUGCAGUUGUACCAGAUGGAGUCGAAGAGGUCGAAUUAGCGAAGAUCCAUGUUGAAGUAAAAGAAAGAGAACGGAAGAUACUGUUUGAUGAUAUCAGAAUCUUGUCUACCAGUAGUGAAUUAUCUGGUGAUCCGAGUCAGUCACCAAAAUUGGAUGAUUCUACAUCAAUUGCUACUGGUUCAAAGUCAAUGCUGGUAAAACGUCUGAAGAAAGAACUUGUGAAUGUCCGAAAUGGUAGGAAAGAAGCAUAUUCUAUGCUGAGAAGUGCUAUGCAGAAAGCUGCACAGUUGAGGUUGAUGGAAAAGGAAAAGAACAAAAGCCCUUCAUGUGCCAUGAGAGUUUCGGUGAGGAUAAACAAGGUCGGGUGGAGCAUGUUAGCAGACGGAAAAGCCUUUUCUGAAGCUGAGAUAAAUGAUAUUAUUUAUGAUUUUGACCGGGACUACAAAGACAUAGGCAUUGCUCAGUUGACAACCAAGUUGUUUGUUCUCAGAAAUGGUCUUGCUAAUGCAAAAUCAGAUACUGUUGUUGCACCCUGGAAUCCACCGUCUGAAUGGGGCAAGAAUGCAAUGCUUCGUGUUAAUGCUAGGCAAGGAGCUCCGACUGAUGGAAACUCAGUAAUUGAGAGUUUGCUGGUGGACAUCUAUCCACUGAAAAUUUAUUUAACAGAAUCAAUGUACAGAAUGAUGUGGGGAUAUUUCUUCCCUGGUGAUGAGCAGCACCCACAAAAGCGGCAGGAACUUUUCAAAGUCUCUACUACAGCAGGGACACGUCGAGUUAAGAAAGGCACUUCGGUUGCAGAAACAAACAGUCCCAGUAACCAGUCAUCAUUUGACAGAACAUGGGAGGAAAAUGUGGCUGAAUCUGUAGCUAAUGAACUUGUUUCACAAAUCCAGGGUCAGUCAAAUGCCCAAACUCGUUCUGCUCGUGAAGAGAAGAAGCCUGUAGAACCUAAUGAGGUGAAGCAAUCUAGACCUCAGAAGAUGAUGGACUUCCGCAAUAUAAAGAUAAGCCAGGUCGAAUUGCUUCUCACGUAUGAGGGAUUGCCAUUUGCUGUUAGUGAUGUAAGGCUACUCAUGGAUACCUUUCAUCGUGAAGAUUUUACUGGGACAUGGCCAAGACUAUUUUCACGAGUGAAGAAACAUAUUGUAUGGGGAGUACUGAAGUCAGUAACUGGCAUGCAGGGUAAAAAGUUUAAAGCUAAAUCCACUAGCCAAAAAGAGCCAACUGCAGGAUUAAUCGCUGCCAAUGAUUUAAAUUUGAGUGACAGCGAUGGUGAUGAAAGUGGGAACUCUGAUCAACUACCAUCUUUCCUUAGAAAACCAAGUGAUGGUGCUGGUGAUGGAUUUGCCACCUCUGUGAAGGGAUUGUUCAGUUCACAAAAAAAGAAAGCAAUGCAUUUUGUCCUGAAGACUAUGAAAGGAGAUGGUGAUCAGGAUUUUCAGGGUGAACGGAGUGAGAAUGAUAUCGAGUUUUCUCCAUUUGCUCGGCAGUUAACUAUAACAAAAACAAAGAAGCUUAUAAGGAAGCACACGAAAAAGUUACAGCCUAAAGUUCCCCAAAAUGCAGGUAGUCAGCAAGAACACGGGUCAGAGUUGCCACCGCGCGGCCCUUCUGGGCAUCAUACGGACUCGUCGUCCUCCUCCUCCUCUUCAUCCUCUUCUGACAACGAUCAGCCAUCGCAGGUGGAAAUGAGCCCGAAAGAUCAUGCAGCGUAG